AAGGAUUUAAGUUAAUUAAACUCGAAACCUUCAAAGUUUCAAAUAAAGACAUUUCUCUUUAAGCCUUA
rnacentral:tRNA from 2 species